rnacentral:misc_RNA from 1 species
ACACCUCAACUCUCACGGCCUCGCCGUGACGAGCUUGGACUUUGGGGGUCUUGCUGGCCUGUGGUCAGCUCCCCUCAAAUAAAUCAGCUUGCCAGUGUCUGGUGGCAUCACGGGUGUGAUAACUAUCUACGCUUGUGGUUUUCCACCGGGUAACCUUCAGUGAUGGAGGUUCGCUGGAGCUCAUAAACGUCUCUCCUCAGCGAGGACAGCUUCUUGAAC